CUACUGACGCUGUUUUCAACCCUCAGCUCCGGCUGCACAGAGCAGAUGUGGAGCAGCUGUCUGUGGUUAAAGAAGAGGUUCCCCCUGAGCAGCAGGAGUGUAGCUCCAACGUUGACCAGCACAAGCC